UGUCCUCAGGCAUGGGGGCCACAGUCUGGACCGCAGGCAGAUUCUUGCUGGUGACUCCAUUCACAAAGCUGGAAGAAGAGGAGGUGGACGCAUCUGUGGCUCCUGAGAGACAACAAGAGAGAAAUCACAGGUAACAACUUAACAACCGAGCCAGUGUCCACAGCACUCUGUGCAGCAGGGAGCUUCUGAUAGAUACAUCACUGCAAUGGACUGUCAUCCUGUGAAACCACAAGCUGUCAUGGGACAUCUGAGGAUGGGAAAUCUACUACGCAGCCAUCAAUCGCCGUGUCAGAGAUGGGUGUCCACCCAUAAGCAAAUACACCAAGAUGAGGGGAAGCAUCAUUACAUUACAUUUA